rnacentral:rRNA from 1 species
GACGAACGCUGGCGGCGUGCUUAACACAUGCAAGUCGAACGGAAAGGCCCUGCUUUUGUGGGGUGCUCGAGUGGCGAACGGGUGAGUAACACGUGAGUAACCUGCCCUUGACUUUGGGAUAACUUCAGGAAACUGGGGCUAAUACCGGAUAGGAGCUCCUGCUGCAUGGUGGGGGUUGGAAAGUUUCGGCGGUUGGGGAUGGACUCGCGGCUUAUCAGCUUGUUGGUGGGGUAGUGGCUUACCAAGGCUUUGACGGGUAGCCGGCCUGAGAGGGUGACCGGCCACAUUGGGACUGAGAUACGGCCCAGACUCCUACGGGAGGCAGCAGUGGGGAAUAUUGCACAAUGGGCGGAAGCCUGAUGCAGCAACGCCGCGUGCGGGAUGACGGCCUUCGGGUUGUAAACCGCUUUCGCCUGUGACGAAGCGUGAGUGACGGUAAUGGGUAAAGAAGCACCGGCUAACUACGUGCCAGCAGCCGCGGUGAUACGUAGGGUGCGAGCGUUGUCCGGAUUUAUUGGGCGUAAAGGGCUCGUAGGUGGUUGAUCGCGUCGGAAGUGUAAUCUUGGGGCUUAACCCUGAGCGUGCUUUCGAUACGGGUUGACUUGAGGAAGGUAGGGGAGAAUGGAAUUCCUGGUGGAGCGGUGGAAUGCGCAGAUAUCAGGAGGAACACCAGUGGCGAAGGCGGUUCUCUGGGCCUUUCCUGACGCUGAGGAGCGAAAGCGUGGGGAGCGAACAGGCUUAGAUACCCUGGUAGUCCACGCUGUAAACGGUGGGUACUAGGUGUGGGGUCCAUUCCACGGGUUCCGUGCCGUAGCUAACGCUUUAAGUACCCCGCCUGGGGAGUACGGCCGCAAGGCUAAAACUCAAAGGAAUUGACGGGGCCCCGCACAAGCGGCGGAGCAUGCGGAUUAAUUCGAUGCAACGCGUAGAACCUUACCUGGGUUUGACAUGGAUCGGGAGUGCUCAGAGAUGGGUGUGCCUCUUUUGGGGUCGGUUCACAGGUGGUGCAUGGCUGUCGUCAGCUCGUGUCGUGAGAUGUUGGGUUAAGUCCCGCAACGAGCGCAACCCUUGUUCACUGUUGCCAGCACGUUAUGGUGGGGACUCAGUGGAGACCGCCGGGGUCAACUCGGAGGAAGGUGGGGAUGACGUCAAGUCAUCAUGCCCCUUAUGUCCAGGGCUUCACGCAUGCUACAAUGGCUGGUACAGAGAGUGGCGAGCCUGUGAGGGUGAGCGAAUCUCGGAAAGCCGGUCUCAGUUCGGAUUGGAGUCUGCAACUCGACCUCAUGAAGUCGGAGUCGCUAGUAAUCGCAGAUCAGCAACGCUGCGGUGAAUAAGUUCCCGGG